GGGGGAUAUUGCACAAUGGGGGGAACCCUGAUGCAGCGACGCCGCGUGGAGGAAGAAGGUUUUCGGAUUGUAAACUCCUGUCGUUAGGGACGAUAAUGACGGUACCUAACAAGAAAGCACCGGCUAACUACGUGCCAGCAGCCGCGGUAAAACGUAGGGUGCAAGCGUUGUCCGGAAUUACUGGGUGUAAAGGGAGCGCAGGCGGGAAGACAAGUUGGAAGUGAAAACCAUGGGCUCAACCCAUGAAUUGCUUUCAAAACUGUUUUUCUUGAGUAGUGCAGAGGUAGAUGGAAUUCCCGGUGUAGCGGUGGAAUGCGUAGAUAUCGGGAGGAACACCAGUGGCGAAGGCGGUCUACUGGGCACCAACUGACGCUGAGGCUCGAAAGCAUGGGUAGCAAACAGGAUUAGAUACCCUGGUAGUCCAUGCCGUAAACGAUGAUUACUAGGUGUUGGGGGAUUGACCCCCUCAGUGCCGCAGUUAACACAAUAAGUAAUCCACCUGGGGAGUACGACCGCAAGGUUGAAACUCAAAGGAAUUGACGGGGGCCCGCACAAGCAGUGGAGUAUGUGGUUUAAUUCGAAGCAACGCGAAGAACCUUACCAGGUCUUGACAUCCGAUGCAUAGCACAGAGAUGUGUGAAAUCCUUCGGGACAUCGAGACAGGUGGUGCAUGGUUGUCGUCAGCUCGUGUCGUGAGAUGUUGGGUUAAGUCCCGCAACGAGCGCAACCCUUAUUGCCAGUUACUACGUUAAGAGGACUCUGGCGAGACUGCCGUUGACAAAACGGAGGAAGGUGGGGAUGACGUCAAAUCAUCAUGCCCUUUAUGACCUGGGCUACACACGUACUACAAUGGCGUUAAACAAAGAGAAGCAAGACCGCGAGGUGGAGCAAAACUCAAAAACAACGUCUCAGUUCAGAUUGCAGGCUGCAACUCGCCUGCAUGAAGUCGGAAUUGCUAGUAAUCGCGGAUCAGCAUGCCGCGGUGAAUACGUUCCCG
rnacentral:rRNA from 1 species